rnacentral:rRNA from 1 species
GUUAACCAAAACGCAGCAGCUAGUUUAACAAAACUAACAGCUCUUUCAAGAUUAUGUGGUAGGUGGUGCAUGGCCGUUCUUAGUUCGUGAAGUGAUUCGUUCGCCCAAUCGCAUUUCCAAACAACUAACAACUCAGAAUGCUGGGCAAUAGGACGUUUAAAGUGGCUCCUUACACCUUACAAAGGAAUGGCUGAUGAGAAACAACUCGAUCCGCUCAGCGUUCUAUUGGAAUGCAACGGACGUGAUUGCAAGCUUUUGUUUUGAGUUGCGGUUUUACUGAAAGACUCUACAAUCCGCAAACUUCAAUGAUCUGAAGUAGAAAACCUACAUGCUACAGUGAGAUAUUGUGGAUAAACUUAAGCGACCGCUCCAACAUUGUGUUUUUUUAAAACUGAUGAAGGUUGCGGCAAUAACAGGUCUGUGAUG